rnacentral:rRNA from 1 species
UCGCUGGGUGUAGACCCGAAACCAAGUGAUCUAUCCAUGGGCAGGAUGAAGGUGCCGUAACAGGUACUGGAGGUCCGAACCGACUAAUGUUGCAAAAUUAGCGGAUGACCUGUGGAUAGGGGUGAAAGGCUAAACAAACUUGGAAAUAGCUGGUUCUCUCCGAAAACUAUUUAGGUAGUGCCUCAAGUAUUACCAUCGGGGGUAGAGCACUGUUUUGGCUAGGGGGUCAUGGCGACUUACCAAACCAAGGCAAACUCCGAAUACCGAUGAGUACAGCUUGGGAGACAGAGCACCGGGUGCUAACGUCCGGACUCAAGAGGGAAACAACCCAGACCGCCAGCUAAGGUCCCUAAAAUUGGCUAAGUGGGAAACGAAGUGGGAAGGCUAAAACAGUCAGGAUGUUGGCUUAGAAGCAGCCAUCAUUUAAAGAAAGCGUAAUAGCUCACUGAUCGAGUCGUCCUGCGCGGAANGUGUAACGGGGCUAAGCCAGUUACCGAAGCUGCGGAUUUGCAAUUUAUUGCAAGUGGUAGGAGAGCGUUCUGUAGGCCUGUGAAGGUGGUGGUGUAAACCCUGCUGGAGGUAUCAGAAGUGCGAAUGCUGACAUGAGUAGCGUUAAAGGGGGUGAAAAGCCCCCUCGCCGUAAGCGCAAGGUUUUCUACGCAACGUUCAUCGGCGUAGAGUGAGUCGGCCCCUAAGGCGAGGCAGAGAUGCGUAGCUGAUGGGAAACAGGUCAAUAUUCCUGUACCGAUGACAAGUGCGAUGUGGGGACGGAGAAGGUUAGCUCAGCCAACUGUUGGAUAUGUUGGUUCAAGCCUGUAGUCGUGCUCGGUAGGCAAAUCCGCCGGGCUUAGAUGAGGGGUGAUAACGAGGGUGCUUGCACCUGAAGUGAGUGAUACCCUGCUUCCAGGAAAAGCCACUAAGCUUCAGCUUGUCAUUGACCGUACCGCAAACCGACACUGGUGCGCGAGAUGAGUAUUCUAAGGCGCUUGAGAGAACUCAGGAGAAGGAACUCGGCAAAUUGAUACCGUAACUUCGGGAGAAGGUAUGCCCCUAGUAGGUGAACUUGAACAAAGGGAGCCCAACGGGGUUGCAAAAAAUCGGUGGCUGCGACUGUUUAAUAAAAACACAGCACUCUGCAAACACGAAAGUGGACGUAUAGGGUGUGACGCCUGCCCGGUGCUGGAAGAUUAAAUGAUGGGGUGCAAGCUCUUGAUUGAAGUCCCAGUAAACGGCGGCCGUAACUAUAACGGUCCUAAGGUAGCGAAAUUCCUUGUCGGGUAAGUUCCGACCUGCACGAAUGGCGUAACGAUGGCCACACUGUCUCCUCCUGAGACUCAGCGAAGUUGAAAUGUUUGUGAUGAUGCAAUCUCCCCGCGGAAAGACGGAAAGACCCCAUGAACCUUUACUGUAGCUUUGUAUUGGACUUUGAACAGAUCUGUGUAGGAUAGGUGGGAGGCUUUGAAGCUGGAACGCUAGUUUCAGUGGAGCCGACGUUGAAAUACCACCCUGGUGUGUUUGAGGUUCUAACCUAGGUCCAUUAUCUGGAUCGGGGACAGUGCAUGGUAGGCAGUUUGACUGGGGCGGUCUCCUCCCAAAGCGUAACGGAGGAGUUCGAAGGUACGCUAGUUACGGUCGGACAUCGUGAUAAUAGUGCAAUGGCAUAAGCGUGCUUAACUGCGAGACUGACAAGUCGAGCAGAUACGAAAGUAGGACAUAGUGAUCCGGUGGUUCUGUAUGGAAGGGCCAUCGCUCAACGGAUAAAAGGUACUCUGGGGAUAACAGGCUGAUGCCGCCCAAGAGUUCAUAUCGACGGCGGUGUUUGGCACCUCGAUGUCGGCUCAUCUCAUCCUGGGGCUGUAGCCGGUCCCAAGGGUAUGGCUGUUCGCCAUUUAAAGAGGUACGUGAGCUGGGUUUAAAACGUCGUGAGACAGUUUGGUCCCUAUCUUCCGUGGGCGCUG